rnacentral:rRNA from 1 species
CCUACGGGCGGCUGCAGUGAGGAAUAUUGGUCAAUGGGCGUAAGCCUGAACCAGCCAAGUCGCGUGAGGGAUGAAGGUUCUAUGGAUCGUAAACCUCUUUUAUAAGGGAAUAAAGUGCGGGACGUGUCCCGUUUUGUAUGUCCCUUAUGAAUAAGGAUCGGCUAACUCCGUGCCAGCAGCCGCGGUAAUACGGAGGAUCCGAGCGUUAUCCGGAUUUAUUGGGUUUAAAGGUUGCGUAGGCGGCCUUUUAAGUCAGCGGGGAAAGUCUGUGGCUCAACCAUAGAAUUGCCGUUGAAACUGGGAGGCUUGAGUAUGUUUGAGGCAGGCGGAAUGCGUGGUGUAGCGAUGAAAUGCUUAGAUAUCACGCAGAACCCCGAUUGCGAAGGCAGCCUGCCAAGCCAUGACUGACGCUGAUGCACGAAAGCGUGGGGAUCAAACAGGAUUAGAGACCCGGGUAGUC